GUCUAUAUGAAUAAAAUAUAUAGUCUAACCUGCCCACUGAAAUGAAUUUUAAAGGGCCGCGGUAAUUUGACCGUGCAAAGGUAGCAUAAUGAGUAGUCUUUUAAUUGAAGGCUGGAAUGAAUGGUUGGAUAAAAGGUAAGCUGUCUUGGUAAUAAGAUUUGAAUUUAACUUUUAAGUGAUAAGGCUUAAAUAUUUUGGGGGGACGAUAAGACCCUAUAAAACUUUAUAAAUAAAAUUUAAUUUCUGAUUUAAGUUUAAAAGUAAGUUAGAUUUAUUUUAUUUCAUUGGGGCGAUGAAGAUAAAAUUUGUAACUGUCUUAGAAAGUAAAUAGAUUUUUCUAGAAUUUGUUGAUCCUUUUUUAAAGAUUAUGAGAUUAAGUUACUUUAGGGAUAACAGCGUUAUUUUUUUUGAGAGUACAUAUCGAUAAAAUUAGUUGC
rnacentral:rRNA from 1 species